rnacentral:sRNA from 1 species
AGCAGCCGCGGUAAUUCCAGCUCCAAUAGCGUAUAUUAAAGUUGUUGCAGUUAAAAAGCUCGUAGUUGAAUUUCGGGGUUCUACCGUUGGUCGGGCUAUAGUCUGUACUGGCGUGUGGAAUUUCUACCUUCUGGGGAACUAUCAUGUUAUUAAUUUAGCGUGGUAGGAAACCAGAACCUUUACCUUGAAAAAAUUAGAGUGUUCAAAGCAGGCUUACGUCUGAAUACAUUAGCAUGGAAUAAUAAAAUAGGACGGUGGUCCUGUUUUGUUGGUUUCUGAAUCACCGUAAUGAUUAAUAGGGAUAGUUGGGGGCAUUAGUAUUCAAUUGUCAGAGGUGAAAUUCUUGGAUUUAUUGAAGACUAACUACUGCGAAAGCAUUUGCCAAGGAUGUUUUCAUUAAUCAAGAACGAAAGUUAGGGGAUCGAAGACGAUCAGAUACCGUCGUAGUCUUAACCAUAAACUAUGCCGACUAGGGAUCGGAUGAUGUUAAUUUUUAA